GAUGAACGCUGGCGGCGUGCCUAAUACAUGCAAGUCGAACGCUGAAGGAAGGAGCUUGCUCUUUCCGGAUGAGUUGCGAACGGGUGAGUAACGCGUAGGUAACCUGCCUGGUAGCGGGGGAUAACUAUUGGAAACGAUAGCUAAUACCGCAUAACAGUAGAUGUUGCAUGAUAUCUACUUAAAAGGUGCAAUUGCACCACUACCAGAUGGACCUGCGUUGUAUUAGCUAGUUGGUGAGGUAACGGCUCACCAAGGCGACGAUACAUAGCCGACCUGAGAGGGUGAUCGGCCACACUGGGACUGAGACACGGCCCAGACUCCUACGGGAGGCAGCAGUAGGGAAUCUUCGGCAAUGGACGGAAGUCUGACCGAGCAACGCCGCGUGAGGGAAGAAGGUUUUCGGAUCGUAAAGCUCUGUUGUAAGAGAAGAACGAGUGUGAGAGUGGAAAGUUCACACUGUGACGGUAUCUUACCAGAAAGGGACGGCUAACUACGUG
rnacentral:rRNA from 1 species